rnacentral:rRNA from 1 species
CGGAAGCUUGCUCUGGUGGCGAGUGGCGAACGGGUGAGUAAUAUAUCGGAACGUACCCUGGAGUGGGGGAUAACGUANCGAAAGUUACGCUAAUACCGCAUACGAUCUACGGAUGAAAGUGGGGGAUCGCAAGACCUCAUGCUCGUGGAGCGGCCGAUAUCUGAUUAGCUAGUUGGUAGGGUAAAAGCCUACCAAGGCAUCGAUCAGUAGCUGGUCUGAGAGGACGACCAGCCACACUGGAACUGAGACACGGUCCAGACUCCUACGGGAGGCAGCAGUGGGGAAUUUUGGACAAUGGGCGAAAGCCUGAUCCAGCAAUGCCGCGUGAGUGAAGAAGGCCUUCGGGUUGUAAAGCUCUUUUGUCAGGGAAGAAACGGUGAGAGCUAAUAUCUCUUGCUAAUGACGGUACCUGAAGAAUAAGCACCGGCUAACUACGUGCCAGCAGCCGCGGUAAUACGUAGGGUGCAAGCGUUAAUCGGAAUUACUGGGCGUGAAGCGUGCGCAGGCGGUUUUGUAAGUCUGAUGUG